AGCUCCAAUAGCGUAUACUAAUGUUGUUGCAGUUAAAAAGCUCGUAGUUGGAUAUCUGGGAUUAAUUUUUUGUCCUUAGGCAUAGUUCUAUGUGUACAAUUUUAAUUAAUCCCAUCUUAGUAGUGAUUGUAUCUGGCAUUAGGUUGUCGGUUGCAGGAGCUGCUUCAUUUACUAUGAAAAAAUCAGAGUGUUCAAAGCAGUUUAAUGAAACUUGAAUACUUCAGCAUGGAAUAAAAAGAUAGGACGUUGGUACUAUUUUAUUGGUUUGUAUGCCACGUAAUGAUUAAUAGGGAUAGUUGGGGGUAUUCAUAUUUGAUUGUCAGAGGUGAAAUUCUUGGAUUUAUGAAAGAUGAACUUAUGCGAAAGCAUUUACCAAGGAUGUUUUCACUAAUCAAGAACG
rnacentral:rRNA from 1 species